rnacentral:misc_RNA from 1 species
UUAAGAUGUCACUUCUCCCAACAACUAGCAACCUCAUUUUAUUCUUCAAUGACUCACAAAUGCAGUUUUGUUAGAUUACAGAUUGCUUUUUUGAAAUGAAGAUGUUUGGAUAUAUUAUUAGUUCCGCAACUUAUGGCAAAAGGAUUCCUAUGAUAUGGUACUCUAGAUUUCCAAUGGCACAAGUCAAUGUCGCCUGUGGACUUUAGAGUU